GUCUCUUCGGAGACAUCCGAUAAAAUUCGAACGAUACAGAGAAGAUUAGCAUGGCCCCUGCGCAAGGAUGACACGCACAUAUCGAGAAAUGGUCAAGGUUUUU
rnacentral:snRNA from 1 species